UAUUGAGCUUUUCAGCAGUAAGAUUCCUUCUGCAUUAGCCAGCUGUCAAACCCAAAAAAAGAAACAACCAUGUAUCUGUAGUCAGACGUUCUUCUCUUCUUCAGAAAACAUCAUGGGAAGAGUGCAAGUGCUACUGGUGGGGGAAAGGCCACACUUUCUCCGUCUCCUUUUCAUGAGAGGAUGGCAUGUUUAAUUGGGGAACCCCUGUUAAGUGGCGUGGUGACUGAAAAGGAGGGCGAUACAGACUUGGCUGAUGAACCCAUCACUGGUGAACCAGAGAGGACUGUGGGAGUGGACAGCAGUCAUUCAGCUGAAGACUGCCAACCCGGCCCCAACGGUGUCUCCGGUGCCCCGGUUGCCUCCAGCGGUGUCUCCGGUGCCCCGGAUGCCUCCAGCGGUGCACCACGUGCUUUAAGCGGAGGUCGUGUUCUGACUGAGGCUGUUUUACAAACACAAAUAAACACAAUUACAGCAAUUGACAAUUUAACAAAUGAGCUUAAAGAGAUUAAGGGGAUACUGUCUGAAAUGUCAAGUACAUUAAAAGAACUUGUUAAAAAAUA